GUAUAAUGAUAAGAUUAAACACUCAAUUUUUAGUCUAAACAAAAUAAUUUCCCGGUGUAUACCUAACGUCCAUCAAUACUCCGAUUUUAAUACGAUUACGACAAUACUCUGAUUAAGAGUCUACCAUGUAAACAGAGAUUUUUGAUGACCUUAAUCCAGCUAAAGUCAUAAUCGAAGUAAACACAAAUCGAAUUAAGACAUGUGGAGUAUUCCUAUUUUAGUCGCAUUAUUGAAGUGCAGUACAGACAUGUAAACACCUUAAUCACACUAUUACCGUUGUGUUGGACUUUUCACCGCAUUUUGCGACAGGACACACACACGGCAGCGAUCAACCGUUUGACGGCAAAUAAAAGAGUUUCAACACCAUCGUCGUCUGUGCACGUACAUAUAAUUAACUGCACUUGAAGCUUUCAUAAAAUUAAAAAUGAAACACCCAAAACUGUAUAUGGCAUCAUCACGAAGACGAACUAUAUGUUUAUACGUGAAAUUCUGGAGGAGACGUCGGAUAGCGUCGCGUGGUGACGUAAUGACGCAUGCCAUUAAUCGAUCUAUGUACUAUAACAUGUAAAACGGGAACAUGAAAGGAUUAUUCUAAAAGCAACUCAUGUAAACACCUUAAUCAUAAUAUUGCCUUAUUCAGAAUAAGGUAAAUAAUUAGAUUACUAUUGUCCAUGUAAACAUAGUCAAUGACUCACGGAGCAACUGGGCAAUCGACCUUCUUUCCGCCAUGAUGGAUCUACAAACUCCCGCCAAACUGUUCGACUGCAAUAUUUUCAUACAAGGUUUGGUCCUCCAUAUGGUCCUCCAUAGUUCAAGACAUUGGCUUUAGUUAAUUUGUGCACAGUUUACAGUCAAUUAUUAGCUUUUUCCCAUAUAAAGAUAUGAAGAGGUCGGUGCAUUAAUGAGGGCACAACAUGAGAUGAAAAACCACAUACUUCUCCACUCACUUGUGAAAGUUACCUGUGGAUUACUCUGUUCCUGGUUCCUGGUGGAUUUUCUGCCUGCUGUUUUGGACACUUGGACUGGUUUCCACCUGUUGUCUCUUGUUUGGAUUUAUGGCUCUUUGCCCACCUCAGCCUAGCGUUACCGAGGAAGCCUGUGGUUGCUGCACCGACGAAUAUGUUUUCUGUGACUUUGCUUGUCUCAUUCACGCAUAAUAAAGAAUCAUCUAA